rnacentral:lncRNA from 1 species
CAAAUUGGAAGAGAACGCAAAAGUAAAAAAUGAAACAAAAGUCAUAUUAAACAAAGAAAUUAAUCAGUAAAAAAGAAAAAUAAAAUUUGAGAAAAUUGAUUUUUUUUCCCGAGUAUAAACAACGAAAAGAAUGAUAAGGACGGGAAAAUAAAAAUCACUCAAACAAAUAAGAAAGACAUUAAAUAUUCACUAAAAAAAUUUAAGUAAUAAAUAUAUGUGUUCUCUCACUUAUAAAGUAUUCAACCUCCACUUUUUAAAAUAAUAUAAAAUUUAC